AGUGAACGCUGGCGGUAGGCCUAACACAUGCAAGUCGAACGGCAGCACAGUAAGAGCUUGCUCUUACGGGUGGCGAGUGGCGGACGAGUGAGGAAUACAUCGGAAUCUACUUUUUCGUGGGGGAUAACGUAGGGAAACUUACGAUAAUACCGCAUACGACCAACGGGUGAAAGCAGGGGAUCUUCGGACCUUGCGCGAUUGAAUGAGCCGAUGUCGGAUUAGCUAGUUGGCGGGGUAAAGGCCCACCAAGGCGACGAUCCGUAGCUGGUCUGAGAGGAUGAUCAGCCACACUGGAACUGAGACACGGUCCAGACUCCUACGGGAGGCAGCAGUGGGGAAUAUUGGACAAUGGGCGCAAGCCUGAUCCAGCCAUACCGCGUGGGUGAAGAAGGCCUUCGGAUUGUAAAGCCCUUUUGUUGGGAAAGAAAAGCAGCAUGUUAAUACCUCGCUGUUCUGACGGUACCCAAAGAAUAAGCACCGGCUAACUUCGUG
rnacentral:rRNA from 1 species